GACGAACGCUGGCGGCGUGCUUAACACAUGCAAGUCGAACGGUAAGGCUCCAGCUUGCUGGGGUACACGAGUGGCGAACGGGUGAGUAACACGUGGGUGACCUGCCCUGCACUUCGGGAUAAGCCUGGGAAACUGGGUCUAAUACCGGAUAGGACCAUGGUGUGGAUACUGUGGUGGAAAGUUUUUUCGGUGUGGGAUGGGCCCGCGGCCUAUCAGCUUGUUGGUGGGGUAAUGGCCUACCAAGGCGGCGACGGGUAGCCGGCCUGAGAGGGUGGACGGCCACAUUGGGACUGAGACACGGCCCAGACUCCUACGGGAGGCAGCAGUGGGGAAUAUUGCACAAUGGGCGGAAGCCUGAUGCAGCGACGCCGCGUGGGGGAUGACGGCCUUCGGGUUGUAAACUCCUUUCACCAUCGACGAAGGGUUCCUGACGGUAGAUGGAGAAGAAGCACCGGCUAACUACGUG
rnacentral:rRNA from 1 species